rnacentral:rRNA from 1 species
CAGCACCUCAAGUGGUCAGGAUGAUUAUUGGGCCUAAAGCAUCCGUAGCCGGCUCUGUAAGUUUUCGGUUAAAUCUGUACGCUCAACGUACAGGCUGCCGGGAAUAAUGCAGAGCUAGGGAGUGGGAGAGGUAGACGGUACUCGGUAGGAAGGGGUAAAAUCCUUUGAUCUAUUGAUGACCACCUGUGGCGAAGGCGGUCUACCAGAACACGUCCGACGGUGAGGGAUGAAAGCUGGGGGAGCAAACCGGAUUAGAUACCCGAGUAGUCC